ACGGCCACAUUUCGUUGAAACACCGGUUUCCGUACGAUCACCGAAGUUAAGCAAUGUUGAGCCUGGUCAGUAACAGUGUCUGGUCAGAUGGGUGACCGCUUGGGAAUAGCAGGUGCAGUAA